GAUUCAGUAGCUCAGUUGGUAGAGCACAUCCCUUUUAAGGAUGGGGUCCUGGGUUCGAACCCCAGCUGAGUCA
rnacentral:tRNA from 1 species